GUUGAAAUACUGGUUCCCAUACAAUCACCGAAGUUAAGCACUGUCAAGCCUGGUCAGUCCAUAAGAUAGGUGACAGCUUGGGAAUACCAGGUGCUGUAA